UCUUCCUCCACAGAAUGAUCACAGGACAGCACACUUAUUCAUUUUCUAAGAAGCAAAAUCUUGACAGUUAGCUCUGUGAGUUAAGAACCUAGAGAAAAAUAAAAUGAACACCACACAUCUGAUUUAAUCAUUCUCUAAAGAGUGAACACAGGACAGCUGAUUUAAUCACUUAAUAAAGAAUUGUUAUCAUAAGCAAGGAGCAUAAAGUCUAAUAUAAAAUGAACAACUCUACCAUAUUUGAUUAUUAGCCCAUGGCAAAGAUCUUGAGUUUUACCUCUUUGGAUAAAGAGAGAAGAGAUCUAUUCAUUGUCCAAUGAUGAAGAUCUUAGCUGUUACUUCUGUAGGUAAGGAGCAAUAAUGAAGACCAUGGCUGCUUUAAUCAGUCUGUUUUGAGGAAGAUCUUGACUGUUACCUUUGUGGAAUGGUUGCGCAAUGAUUCAAUUAAGGACUAUAGAAACUUAUCAUGGAUGCGUUGGAGCUGAUUUGAGGAUUCAUCUAAGGUCACAAGAUGUCUGGUUGUCUCUGUGUUUGGCACAUAGAAACAAAUAAUGGACACGCUUUAGCUGAUUUAAACAUAUGUCUUGGUCAACAAUCUCUGAAUUUGCCUGUACAUGGAAACCAACA